rnacentral:rRNA from 1 species
GAUGAACGCUGACAGAAUGCUUAACACAUGCAAGUCAUUGGCGAAGCUGCGCUUGCGCAGUCUAGCCAAGGCGGACGGGUGAGUAACGCGUAAGGAACUUGCCCUGCAGACAGGGAUAACAGACGGAAACGACUGAUAACACCUGGUAUUGUCAGGCUGGCGCAUGCCGGCCUGAUGAAAGGAGACGCUGCAGGAGAGCCUUGCGUCCUAUUAGCUAGUUGGUUGGGUAACGGCCCACCAAGGCGAUGAUAGGUAGCCGGCCUGAGAGGGUGAACGGCCACGAGGGGACUGAGAUACGGCCCUUACUCCUACGGGAGGCAGCAGUGGGGAAUAUUGGACAAUGGGGGCAACCCUGAUCCAGCAAUUCUGUGUGCACGAAGAAGGUUUUCGGAUUGUAAAGUGCUUUCAGCAGGGAAGAAGAAAGUGACGGUACCUGCAGAAGAAGCGACGGCUAAAUACGUG